rnacentral:rRNA from 1 species
CCUACGGGAGGCAGCAGUGGGGAAUAUUGGGCAAUGGGCGCAAGCCUGACCCAGCAACGCCGCGUGAAGGAAGAAGGCUUUCGGGUUGUAAACUUCUUUUCUGGGGGACGAACAAAUGACGGUACCCCAGGAAUAUGCCACGGCUAACUACGUGCCAGCAGCCGCGGUAAUACGUAGGUGGCAAGCUUUAUCCGGAUUUAUUGGGUGUAAAGGGCGUGGAGGCGGGAAUGCAAGUCAGAUGGGAAAACUCAGGGCACAACCCUGAGCCUGCAUUUGAAACUGUGUUUCUUGAGUGCUGGAGAGGCAAUCGGAAUACCGGGUGUAGCGGUGAAAUGCGUAGAUAUGCGGAGGAACACCAGUGGCGAAGGCAGAUUGCUGGACAGUAACUGACGCUGAGGCGCGAAAGCGUGGGGAGCAAACAGGAUUAGAUACCCCAGUAGUC